rnacentral:misc_RNA from 1 species
UUUCCGUAGGUGAACCUGCGGAAGGAUCAUUGUCGAAUCCUGCAAAAGCAGACCGCGAACAUGUUAAACCAUAUUGGGACCGCGGGUCUUUGGGGAGACCCUUUGCCCGCGCCCAUCUCUCGCACAGCGUGCGCCUAGGCGCGCGUGGUGCGGGCUAACGAACCCCGGCGCGGCAUGCGCCAAGGAAAACUCACAGAAACGUCGGCCUCCCAUCGCCCCGUUCGCGGUGCGCGGUGGGGGAACUGAUGUCUCUUCAAUGUCAUAACGACUCUCGGCAACGGAUAUCUCGGCUCUCGCAUCGAUGAAGAACGCAGCNNNNNNNNNNNNNNGGUGUGAAUUGCAGAAUCCCGUGAACCAUCGAGUCUUUGAACGCAAGUUGCGCCCGAAGCCAUUCGGCUGAGGGCACGUCUGCCUGGGCGUCACGCAUCGCGUCGCCUCCCUCACCCACACCCCACGGGGCGAUUGGGUGUUGGGGGCGGAAAUUGGCCCCCCGUGCACUUUUGUCGUGCGGCCGGCCUAAAUGUGAACCCGUGUCGACUCGCGUCACGACCAGUGGUGGUUGAAGACUCAACUCUCGUGCUAUCGUGUCGUUUUGAGUUGGCUUGUGGGUUUUUGUCGCAGACCCAACGGCGCGAGCCUAUCGCGCCUUCGACCGCGACCCCAGGUCAGGCGGGAUUACCCGCUGAGUUUAA